ACGGUUUAUAAGUCGCCGAAACAGAGAAGUAACGCCCCUCGAGAAAACCGCUUUCUAAAAAUAGUUCAUGUAAGAUAUAUUUAAAACCCAGAAAUUUACGGUCUGGCAAGUAUAACCGAGUGCCCGUGAGUCUGGGAGUAUAAUAAGUCGUCGAAGCAGAAAAUUCGAAUCACUGAGAUGGGGUGCUGUAAAGUUUUAAAGAUCAUCUUCUUGUUAGCGUUAGAAAUGGCGGAUCUCGUUUUAGACUGGGACUUUUACUAUGAAGUAAGAAAAACCGAGGAUAUCGGUCAAGAAUUAGAAUACAGCAUCCUGGGAUUUGCCAUCUUUGGGACAAUUUUAUUUCUGUGCAUAUUGACCAACAAGAUAGUGAUAUAUCGUAGUAAGGAUGAUGAAGAAGAUGACGCAUGCGCAUUGGGUCUCUCAUUUGUAUACCAUGUUUGAGGAUCUACCUCAAAUCUUAUUGGCUAUUUUGGUUGCCUUGACGACUAAAGAACUGAUAUCGCCCAUUCAGAUCGCAAAAGCUGGCUACGCAAUCGCAGAACCGGUGAUUCAGAUAAUGUUUACUUCAUAUCAGAUUCAUAAACUUAGGAAAGACAUAUAUGAUGACAAUACUGGAAAAAAAUGUUGUAAAGUGAUGGAAAUCAUUAUCAGUAUUGUUCUCGUAAUUUCUUCAUGUUUCCUACUGAUUCAUUUAGUAUACCCAUUAAUUGAGAAAUUUACAAUUUAAAAUUGCAAUCUGAUUUGCUUAUUAAUGUAUUUUAGAAUAGAGAAGGGAUGUUUAUUUGUACAUGUAAAUGAGCAUUAAAAAUGCAUGUAAAAAGAAAUAAAAAAUCUAUUCAUUACUGCAUUAAGGACUUUAAUGCUUGAUUUUAAUUAUUACUUAAUUUCCAUGAAUCCAUGCAGAUGUAUAUUUCAAUAUAUUAAAUGUAAGUAUUUAUUAUACAGAUUUUGUACAAACGCCAUUGGAUAUGUUGAUGUAAAAAUAGUCGUUAAAUCAAAUAAACCAGUGAAAAUAAAUUGUUCCAUAACACUCUCAGAAUAAAAAAUAAAUCUUGAUUCUAGUUUUAUGUUAUUUUAUGCAAGAAAAUUAAAGAAUAUUUGGUACAUGUAUUGUUCACAAAUUCAUUCAGGCUACUGGUCUUUUCAAAGAACAAUUAUUUGUAUUUUUACUAACACUUUUUGAUCUUUAUUAUGGUUAUUGUCUUCACUAUAAUCACCAGAAUAUUGAUUGAUAUUUUUGAAAAUAAUAGCUAUUGUUUUUGUUCUUCUAUUCAUAUUGUAUACAUGUUAUUGUGAAUCUUUGUAGAUAUUGUUAGGCUAUUGAAAUCUUAUGUUGUAGAGGAAUAUCUAAGUUUCUUGAAUUUGUGUCCAAUCCCUUUGACAUGUUGUCAAUAAAAUUUGUUUAAAACAAAA